UCUCUCCAUUCUCUGCCACUAUUUUUCCCUUUUCUCUCUUCUUCUCCAUAUAUACCUCUUUACUAUUUUAGAUUUUCUCAAAUAUUACUAUUUUUUUUUCUUCACAUUUACCCGUAAGAAACCAACCAAUGUGUCAUAUUCUCUUACCUUAUAUAAACAGCAAUGUGUAAUUAUUAUCUCAGAAAUCUAGGGCAUGCUUCUUUGUUUUCUUGUUCUUCAAUCCUACUUGUUUCAAUUUAAAACCCUCUCCACUAAGUCAUGCCAUUUUUGUUUAGAGUCUAUAUACCCUUCAUUGUCCUCUCUUUG